CUUACCUGUCGCUUCUGCCUUAUCUGUCGCUUUGGGGUCCUAGCUGCGUUGCCCUGGUAACAACUGUAAACAAACGGCUGCAGUUAACUGCUCCGCUCCCUGACAGGAUUUUUCAUUCAUUCGUGCCAAUGAAACAGGAGGCCUCGAUUCGUGCAGAAGAUAAGGUUUGAAACCCAGACAGCACGAAGCAUCUUGCCGACGUCAAAAUCAGAUCAACAGACUGGGACAUCAGCCUUCUCUUGGGAAUAGGCCAGAUAUGCCAUAACAAGAAAUGGUGUUUUGCCCCUGCGGUUGUGAAGAGGAUGCUGUGGAGGUGGCAGCAUGAACGUGUCACACAGACAUUGGCUAAACUACUCGGCUUCUACACUUGCCCUCAGAGUUCACAUAUGGUGACGUGCACAUGUGUCCAGUCAGGUUCAGACUGAUGCUGGUAACAAGAGGAGAACAUGCUAAUUGAUGCUGUGUUGCUGCCAGUCCACGGAUGUACACGAAUGGCUCACCUGGAGGAGGAGGGCGGUCAACGACAUUACUCAUUGACAACAAAUGUGCUCUACGAUGACAUUUCCAGCAUGUCCAACUCAUCAGCAUCAGGGGAGAUUCGGUGGAGGUGGUGCACCAUCCAGGACCAGUCAUGGGCCACCAAAACCUCUGCAAAAUCUACACUUCUUGUGAACCCUGUAGAAGACACUACAACCACAAAACUGCUAAUAAACCAUCACAUACUGCGUCACAUCAUGGUUCUCCAUGUGUUACUGCACCCUCGGCACAAGUUCUUUGCUAGAUUGCCAUCUGGCAGAUGCAUCAGGACAGGAAUGUAGCUACUAUUUGUGAUUAUAUCUUCCCACACUCUUACUUGCUUUGCAUGGCAGUGUGUCUCAAUGUGUGUCAGAAUGGAAGGUGUCGCACCAUUGAAGUCAAUGGGCAGUGGCAUUGCAUCAGGGUUAUAGAAGCCCAGAUAUCCUUGAUGCUUUGAUGCCAGCUGUUUUUUUUGUGAUCUGGUCACCCACACUUCCCUCUUCAUUGUCCCAUAGAUUUCCAUACCACGCUUUGGUGCUUUGGUGGUAUGGACAUUCUAACUCACCAGAAGAAAAAAAACCAUUGAAAAUGAAUGGAAGGUUAUGUCUGGUGAUUUCUGGUAAAUUAGAAUGCCCAUAACAUCAAAGUGGCACUGGAUUACUCAACCAUUUGUCUCUUAAAAGAUAGUUUCUGCCAAUUUCAAUAUGCUGUUGUAUAGCUCAUGCUACCCUUGACUUGUCAGUAGGCUACCCGGUGAUGAUGGCAUUCUUUUGACUCAGCUCUUUCUGAGAUCUGAGCUAUUCUAAUGGGGGCAGACUUUGAUUGUAUUAAAAACCUUCUUAACAUAGGCCUAAUCCAAAUACCAUCCCAAAAGGUAUCACUGUCUGUUUGCUAGUUGUCUGCUGAUGUUGCAUAACCUUUUGAAUGUUAUUGGGAAUAAAUGAAGAUGUUUUUUUGAAAUGUAAACAAACGCCUGCCCCCAUUACAAUGACAUGGGUAUGUGGAAGAGCUGUCCCUUACUCAUGCACCUGUUUAACAAAAUGUUAUUUUUAUUCAAGUAGGGGUAUGCAGUGUAUAAGUUUUUUGUUUGUUUGUUUGUUUUUUUGUUGUUGUUUUUUUAAAAAAAAAAUAUAAAUGGCACAUUACUUAAUACUGUAAGUUAUUUCAGCUGAUUUAAACUGGCAUCUGGGAAUUCCAAAAUAAAGGUGAAAUAAAACACUGGUGUCCCUGCAAGCUUCUACUUAGUUGCAUUUUUAACGUUGUUAUGUUAUAGAGAAUAUAAUUAUUAUAUAAUUGUUACCAGGUAAAAACGAAAAGCAAGUUAAUGUAAUCCAGCCACUUGCUCAGUCUGUCACAGUAGCAAUAUUCAGUCAAUGAGUGCAUUCCCUCGUAUUUUGGCGUUUUGCGUGGUAUCUGUGGGGAUCAAGGCGAUAACCCGGACAGCCUCUAAAACAUGGAUCGUUCAUUUCAGCCAAUCAGGUGACAAGAGCGACAGAUAAGGCAGAAGCGAC